rnacentral:rRNA from 1 species
UACGAAGGGUGCAAGCGUUAAUCGGAAUUACUGGGCGUAAAGCGUGCGUAGGCGGUGAGUUAAGUCUGUCGUGAAAGCCCCGGGCUCAACCUGGGAAUUGCGAUGGAGACUGCAAGGCUUGAAUCUGGCAGAGGGGGGUAGAAUUCCACGUGUAGCAGUGAAAUGCGUAGAGAUGUGGAGGAACACCGAUGGCGAAGGCAGCCCCCUGGGUCAAGAUUGACGCUCAUGCACGAAAGCGUGGGGAGCAAACAGG